UACGUAGGGUGCGAGCGUUGUCCGGAAUUACUGGGCGUAAAGAGCUCGUAGGCGGUUUGUCGCGUCUGCUGUGAAAACUCGGGGCUUAACCCCGGGCCUGCAGUGGGUACGGGCAGACUAGAGUGCGGUAGGGGAGACUGGAAUUCCUGGUGUAGCGGUGAAAUGCGCAGAUAUCAGGAGGAACACUGGUGGCGAAGGCGGGUCUCUGGGCCGUAACUGACGCUGAGGAGCGAAAGCGUGGGGAGCGAACAGG
rnacentral:rRNA from 1 species